rnacentral:rRNA from 1 species
UACGUAGGGUGCAAGCGUUAAUCGGAAUUACUGGGCGUAAAGCGUGCGCAGGCGGUUCGCUAAGACCGAUGUGAAAGCCCCGGGCUUAACCUGGGAAUGGCAUUGGAAACUGGCUCGCUGGAGUGUGGCAGAGGGGGGUGGAAUUCCGCGUGUAGCAGUGAAAUGCGUAGAGAUGCGGAGGAACACCGAUGGCGAAGGCAGCCCCCUGGGCUAACACUGACGCUCAGGCACGAAAGCGUGGGGAGCAAACAGG